ACUCAUCUACAUGAACAUUUUUCCCCUCAAAAUGAAGUGCUUGUUGACGCUUAUUGCCCUGUUAGCGGCUUCUGCCAGAGUCCUCCUGGGUGAAAUACAGCUGCGCCAGUCCGGUGAUGGAGAGGUGAAAUUAGGCCAAACUUUGCGUCUCACCUGUAGUAUUUCUGGACUCCCAAUUGCUACGGAGAAUAUAUUCUGGCAAUGGAUCCAACAGCCAGCAGGGGAAAAUCCAAAAUGGCUGGGUUGGAUCUAUCCAUUCAGUGCAGGCAAAUACAUUGAUGUGUCUCUCCAAGGGCGAAUUGAGCUCUCCGCUGACACAGCCAAGAAUGAGAUCUAUCUUCAGCUAGGUUCUCUGACAGCUCAGGAUGCUGCCACAUACUACUGCACUCGAGAUGCACAGUGA